rnacentral:rRNA from 1 species
UACAGAGGGUGCAAGCGUUGUUCGGAAUUACUGGGCGUAAAGCGCGUGUAGGCGGUCUGAUAAGUCAGAUGUGAAAUCCCUCAGCUUAACUGAGGAACUGCAUCUGAUACUGUUAGACUUGAGUAUCGGAGGGGAUGGCGGAAUUCCUGGUGUAGAGGUGAAAUUCGUAGAUAUCGGGAGGAACACCUGUGGCGAAAGCGGCUCACUGGACCAUAACUGACGCUGAUGCACGAAAGCUGGGGGAGCAAACAGG